GUUAAUAAUGUUAAUAUCAUGCUGGAAUAUGUCGAAUAAUGCAGUGGUUCACCAAUCCAUGAAGGGUCUGAUAUGCUUAUAGAUAGUUUGGGAGGAGGGAAGCUAGAUCGUAUGUUGUGUCAAACAGCAUCCCAAAUAGCAUGCAAAGUGAUUGUUUUGGACUCAAUGAAGAACUGCCCGGCAAGUGCAUUAGUACGUGAUUAUGUGGUGAGAAGCUAUGAUGAUAGUGUCUCCGUUAAAGAAUUUGGGAAAAAGUUUGUUUUUGGUCAAAUAUAUGUUUGUUGUUUUGACUAUUCUGCAAGUUAAUUUGAAUGUUAAAGUUACAUGAGGAGUUCUAACGAAUGAGAUCGAGCGGGUUGAUGUCGCUACACUUGAGAAGCUUGAAUGUCAAGGUGUGGAUUGAACCUAAAGCCUCUACUAUUCGUGUAAUCUAGGAUAAAUAUCUUCAGAAGAUCCACUUUUCUCAACAUGCAAUUAUACAUCCAAGAUUAUGCAGAUUGAUAAUCUUGAAAGUGCUAAACGAGCAGGGGAUAUCUGUUUGGUUAUCCUCUGAUGAUAAAGAACAGGAGGCUGGCGUGUGAUGGGCGUGGCAAUGCUGUAGCUAACAGUGAGGAGGAGCUCUCUUCUGCAACUUAUGAUAAUACGUCUAUAAUUAUUUAAUGAUCAAGAUGUACAAAUUGACUCUUUUAGUGUCUACCACAGGUAUCAUGGUGUGCUACAGGGUUGGAAUAGUUUACUUAAGGUACAUAUAGCUGAUGCAAUCAACUAAAAGUUGCAACUUGAGGAGCUGACCAAUCAAAUUAAUGAAAAUUGGUUUCAUUGGCCUUAAUACUAUGAGAUCUGACAGAAUCAAGUCAAGAACUUGAAGUCCGAAGAACCUAUUCUUGAAGAAUGCGCAAAGCAAGUUGAAGUAUAAUAUGGUUUUUAUUCUGUUAGCAAUGGUUUAAAGAUGUUGUCAUUUGUACAUCGUGCUACAAUUCUGCUAUCUAUUUUUAGGAGUUAAUAAAAGUAGUAUCAUGCUAUAGACAGUGUGAUCCUUCCGUUCUUUGUAAUGACAAUGAAAUUUUAUUGAGUA